rnacentral:rRNA from 1 species
AUUGAACGCUGGCGGCAGGCUUAACACAUGCAAGUCGAGCGGAGAUGAGGUGCUUGCACCUUAUCUUAGCGGCGGACGGGUGAGUAAUGCUUAGGAAUCUGCCUAUUAGUGGGGGACAACAUUCCGAAAGGAAUGCUAAUACCGCAUGAGCCCUACGGGGGAAAGCAGGGGAUCUUCGAACCUUGCGCUAACAGAUGAGCCUAAGUCGGAUUAGCUAGUUGGUGGGGUAAAGGCCUACCAAGGCGACGAUCUGUAGCGGGUCUGAGAGGAUGAUCCGCCACACUGGGACUGAGACACGGCCCAGACUCCUACGGGAGGCAGCAGUGGGGAAUAUUGGACAAUGGGCGGAAGCCUGAUCCAGCCAUGCCGCGUGUGUGAAGAAGGCCUUUUGGUUGUAAAGCACUUUAAGCGAGGAGGAGGCUACCUGGAUUAAUACUCUAGGAUAGUGGACGUUACUCGCAGAAUAAGCACCGGCUAACUCUGUGCCAGCAGCCGCGGUAAGAC